AUGCUCAUUUCAGCAGCACAUAUACUAAAAUAGGAAUGAUACAGAGAAGGUUAGCAUGGCCCCUUCACAAGGAUGACACGCAGUUCAUGAAGCAUUCUAUGUUUUU